rnacentral:rRNA from 1 species
CCCCACCGCCGGGCCCCCGCCAGAGGACCUUCAAACUCCAGUCAGUGAACGUCGACGUCUGAUAAACAAGUUAAUAAACUAAAACUUUCAACAACGGAUCUCUUGGUUCUGGCAUCGAUGAAGAACGCAGCGAAAUGCGAUAAGUAAUGUGAAUUGCAGAAUUCAGUGAAUCAUCGAAUCUUUGAACGCACAUUGCGCCCCUUGGCAUUCCGAGGGGCAUGCCUGUUCGAGCGUCAUUACAACCCUCAAGCUCUGCUUGGUAUUGGGCGCCCGUCCUCCGCGGACGCGCCUCGAAGACCUCGGCGGCGGCUGUUCGGCCCUCAAGCGUAGUAGAAAACACCUCGCUUUGGAGCGGUCGGCGUCGCCCGCCGGACGAACCUUCUGAACUUUUUCUCAAGGUGACCUCGAUCAGGUA